UACGGGGGGGGGUAAGCGUUGUUCGGAAUUACUGGGCGUAAAGGGCUCGUAGGCGGCCAACUAAGUCGGACGUGAAAUCCCUCAGCUUAACUGGGGAACUGCGUCCGAUACUGGAUGGCUUGGAUUUGGGAGAGGGAUGCGGAAUUCCAGGUGUAGCGGUGAAAUGCGUAGAUAUGCGGAGGAACACCGAUGGCGAAGGCGGCUUCCUGGACCGAUACUGACGCUGAGACGCGAAAGCGUGGGGAGCAAACAGG
rnacentral:rRNA from 1 species